CAUACCUAUUCGAAGGGAUAGGGUCGGUUUGGCCGGAUUUCACACAGGUGUUGCAUGGCUGUCGUCAGCUCGUGUCGUGAGAUGUUGGGUUAAGUCCCGCAACGAGCGCAACCCUCAUCCUUAGUUACCAUCAGGUUAUGCUGGGGACUUUAAGGAAACUGCCAGUGAUAAACUGGAGGAAGGUGGGGAUGAUGUCAAGUCAUCAUGGCCCUUAUGGAGUGGGCUACACACGUGCUACAAUGGUGAUUACAAUGGACUGCAAGGUCGCAAGGCUGAGCUAAUCCUAAAAAAUCAUCUCAGUUCGGAUUGUUCUCUGCAACUCGAGAGCAUGAAGUUGGAAUCGCUAGUAAUCGUGGAUCAGCAUGCCACGGUGAAUACGUUCUCGGGUCUUGUACACACUGCCCGUCACGCCAUGGGAAUUGGUUUCACUCGAAGCU
rnacentral:rRNA from 1 species